CGGCGGACGGGUGGAGUAACGCGUGGGUAACCGUGCCUCAUACAGGGGGAGUAACAGUUGGAAACGGCUGCUAAUACCGCAUAAGCGCACAGUACCGCAUGGUACCGUGUGAAAAACUCCGGUGGUAUGAGAUGGACCCGCGUCUGAUUAGCUAGUUGGUGGGGUAACGGCCUACCAAGGCGACGAUCAGUAGCCGACCUGAGAGGGUGAACGGCCACAUUGGGACUGAGACACGGCCCAAACUCCUACGGGAGGCAGCAUG
rnacentral:rRNA from 1 species